GUCAAAACUUUUUUUUAAAUCUUUCAUAUUUACAAAGAGAUGUGUGCAGGCAUCAACAAGGAAAAUUGAAUUCCCGCUAUAGCACUCCCGCUAUAAUUUUCCAGAAUUUUCAAACACACUCUCCGUAGAACGAGAAAGAAUUGAGGGCGAUGCACUCUUGAGUGUUCUGAAACACUCUACAAACCCACUCUUGCUGGUCAAUGACGAUAGUGGUAACUGGGUAUAAUCGUGCAUUCUUGGAAAAAGGCUUUGUGAUUAGUAAUUCAAAUACAUGACCACAUGUCACUCUCUACUUAUUGUCUCUCUUUCUUUCUGACUGCCAACCAUUUCUACCAUGACCUCUUUAGGAGAACUGUAAUUCUAGUUGGAAAUCAUUAAGUAUACCAUCUGCUUUAUCUCCUCUUAGAAUAUCACUAUGGCAGGAAAGAGGAAGCGAAUCCAUUGUGACUUUUCAAGUGAGGCAUCAAUCGACAAUCCAUAAAUUAAGGUUGUUGCUGUUAUAACUUCAAACAGUAAGGUUGCUGUUGUUAUAACAUCAGGAAGUACCCAAGGGAGUGCAAAUGUUCCCCUUUUCUUUUAGGUUGUUAUUGGUGUUUUCAAUUGGUUCUUUUUUCCUUGGUCCUCGUCCUGCAUGCUUUCUUGUUGACAAAUUGGUUAAGUUUUCAUGGAUUAUUGUAAUACUAUGGUGUUAUUGCAGCUCUUACCCAUUUUCUAAUUUUUAACUGUUGUGUCAAAGUGUCUUUUUGAAUGUAUCUUCGUCACGAUGUAGUGUGAACUGGUGCAUGAGUUGAUUAUUUCGGUACUAAGGAUGCUUUUUGUCACUUGUUGAUAUUUCUUUGAGUUUGUUGGUUAUGAGUAUUAUAUCUAACCAAAGACAUGGAUGAUUUGGAUAUGUAAGUUGUAGCCUUAAUGUCAAUGGAAGUCUACUUAUGCAGGUUGUCUUAACAACUUAAGACAUGGAUGAUUAAUUUAGUUGAGUGACUGUCACUUCAGAUAUUUCUUGUUUUUCUAUCACUUACUAAGUUAUAUAUUUUGGUCCUACAUAUUUGAGAAUUAGCCUAGCACUUCUUAAGGAAUUGCUUUGUUUUUUGUUGGUAUGGUGCUCUUUUUUGAUCAAAUUGGAUGCUCUAUGGGCAGUGGACGUGGAGGAUGAGCUUGGGAGAUUGCUUGUUUGGGGGUGAUGCUGCUUCGUAGUCAUGAUUUGUUUCCUCUGUCAACUUUAGGAUGUGCAUCAAUUGUAAAGAGGAACAAAACAUUUUUUGUUUGUGUCAAAACUUCCAACUGUACUGUAAUUGACAAUUUCUACUAAUUAAUUUAAGUAUUUGGAGUUUAA